rnacentral:rRNA from 1 species
UGGGGAAUCUUGGACAAUGGGGGCAACCCUGAUCCAGCGAUGCCGCGUGAGUGAAGAAGGCCUUCGGGUCGUAAAGCUCUUUAGUUUGGGAAGAAGGGUAUUAGUUGAUAAGGCUAAUAUUUUGACGGUACCAAAAAAAUAAGCACCGGCAAACUCUGUGCCAGCAGCCGCGGUAAUACAGAGGGUGCGAGCGUUAAUCGGAGUUACUGGGCGUAAAGGGCGCGUAGGCGGAUAUAUGAGUGUGGUGUGAAAGCCCCGGGCUUAACCUGGGAAGUGCAUUGCAAACGAUAUAUCUGGAGUACAAGAGAGGGUGGCGGAAUUUCCGGUGUAGCGGUGAAAUGCGUAGAGAUCGGAAGGAACGUCAAUGGCGAAGGCAGCCACCUGGCUUGAUACUGACGCUGAGGCGCGAAAGCGUGGGGAGCGAACAGG